CAUGUAGGCGGUCUGCUAAGUUCGGAGUGACAGUCACCAGCUUAACUGGUGAAGUGCUUCGAAAACUGGCGGACUUGAGAGCGAAAGAGGGACAUGGAAUUCCGGGUGGAGCAGUGAAAUGCGUAGAGAUCCGGAGGAACACCAAAGGCGAAGGCAGUGUCCUGGCUCGUUUCUGACGCUGAGAUGCGAAAGCCAGGGGAGCGAACGGGAUUAGAUACCCCGGUAGUCCUGGCCGUAAACGAUGACCACCAGGCGUGGGAGGGAUCGACCCCUUCCGUGCCGUAGUCAACACAUUAAGUGGUCCGCCUGGGGAGUACGGUCGCAAGACUAAA
rnacentral:rRNA from 1 species